UGUGGACAGAAUCUGCUCUUAACUGGAACGCUUUGGAUGCAAUUAAUGAGGAUUAUUCAAUUGCGGAUGUUAGUACUCCACGUGCCCAAACUCCCCCAUCCAGUACCAUUGAAGUACCUUCUGGGAAAUCUACUGGAAGCUGAGUAAUAUUUCCUGGCAUUUCUGUGGAUGCUCAGGCUUAGUUUUCGGAGUAGUGCUUGACCUUGGUGUUCAAAAUGAUAAAUUCUCCAUUAGCAAAUCUGUAUAAUAAAAGUUCUACAUUGAAUUAAUUCAUACUCUGUAUAGCCCCUUGAAUGACCUAAACGUAAGAACAAGUGCUUCCAGGAGCUUUUUGUAAAAUGCUCUGUCAGGAAGUUGGCAGUUUGAGUCCCAAGGAAAUGAGCUCCAUUGUACAGUUAG
rnacentral:misc_RNA from 1 species